rnacentral:tRNA from 1 species
GGGUAUUUGGUCUAGUGGUAUGAUUCUUGCUUGGGGUGUGAGAGGUUCUGAGUUUAAUUCUUGAAAUGCUCA